UCCUCGUUAGUAUAGUGGUGAGUAUCCCUGCGUGUCACGCGGGAGACCGGGGUUCGAUUCCCCGACGGGGAG
rnacentral:tRNA from 1 species